GCCGGCUUGGCUCAGUGGCAGAGCGUCGCUCUCGUAAAGCGAAGGUCGGGUGUUCGAUCCUCCCAGCCGGCA
rfam:Catenaria anguillulae PL171 BCR44scaffold_132, whole genome shotgun sequence.